rnacentral:rRNA from 1 species
UACAGAGGUCCCAAGCGUUGUUCGGAUUCACUGGGCGUAAAGGGUGCGUAGGUGGUCGGGUAAGUCUGAUGUGAAAUCUCAGAGCUCAACUCUGAAACUGCAUUGGAUACUAUCCGGCUGGAGGGUCGGAGGGGGGACUGGAAUUCUUGGUGUAGCAGUGAAAUGCGUAGAUAUCAAGAGGAACACCAGUGGCGAAGGCGAGUCCCUGGACGACUCCUGACACUGAGGCACGAAAGCUAGGGGAGCAAACAGG